rnacentral:rRNA from 1 species
GAAGUUUUCAGAGAUGAGAAUGUGCCUUCGGGAACCGUGAGACAGGUGCUGCAUGGCUGUCGUCAGCUCGUGUUGUGAAAUGUUGGGUUAAGUCCCGCAACGAGCGCAACCCUUAUCCUUUGUUACCAGCGGUCCGGCCGGGAACUCAAAGGAGACUGCCAGUGAUAAACUGGAGGAAGGUGGGGAUGACGUCAAGUCAUCAUGGCCCUUACGACCAGGGCUACACACGUGCUACAAUGGCGCAUACAAAGAGAAGCGACCUCGCGAGAGCAAGCGGACCUCAUAAAGUGCGUCGUAGUCCGGAUUGGAGUCUGCAACUCGACUCCAUGAAGUCGGAAUCGCUAGUAAUCGUGGAUCAGAAUGCCACGGUGAAUACGUUCCCGGGCCUUGUACACACCGCCCGUCACACCAUGGGAGUGGGUUGCAAAAGAAGUAGGUAGCUUAACCUUCGGGAGGGCGCUUACCACUUUGUGAUUCAUGACUGGGGUGAAGUCGUAACAAGGUAACCGUAGGGGAACCUGCGGUUGGAUCAC